AACGAACGCUGGCGGCAGGCUUAACACAUGCAAGUCGAGCGCCCCGCAAGGGGAGCGGCAGACGGGUGAGUAACGCGUGGGAAUCUACCCAUCUCUACGGAAUAACGCAUGGAAACGUGUGCUAAUACCGUAUACGUCCUUCGGGAGAAAGAUUUAUCGGUGAUGGAUGAGCCCGCGUUGGAUUAGCUAGUUGGUGGGGUAAAGGCCUACCAAGGCGACGAUCCCUAGCUGGUCUGAGAGGAUGAUCAGCCACACUGGGACUGAGACACGGCCCAGACUCCUACGGGAGGCAGCAGUGGGGAAUAUUGGACAAUGGGCGCAAGCCUGAUCCAGCCAUGCCGCGUGAGUGAUGAAGGCCCUAGGGUUGUAAAGCUCUUUCACCGGUGAAGAUAAUGACGGUAACCGGAGAAGAAGCCCCGGCUAACUUCGUGCCAGCCGCCGCUGUAAUAC
rnacentral:rRNA from 1 species